rnacentral:rRNA from 1 species
CGAUUCCUACGGGAGGCAGCAGUAAGGAAUCUUGCUCAAUGGGCGCAAGCCUGAAGCAGCGACGCCGCGUGGGGGAUGAAGGUCUUCGGAUUGUAAACCCCUUUCGGGAGGGAAGAUGGGACGGGCAACCGUUCGGACGGUACCUCCAGAAGCAGCCACGGCUAACUACGUGCCAGCAGCCGCGGUAAAACGUAGGAGACGAGCGUUAUCCGGAAUUACUGGGCGUAAAGCGCGUGUCGGCGGAUGGUCAAGUCUGUCGUGAAAGCGCCCGGCUAAACCGGGCGAGGUCGAUGGAGACUGAUGGUCUGGAGUGCGGGAGAGGGCAGUGGAAUUCCGGGUGUAGUGGUGAAAUGCGUAGAUCUCCGGAGGAACACCAGUGGCGAAGGCGACUGCCUGGCUCGCAACUGACGCUCAGACGCGAAAGCAUGGCGGAGCGAACGGGAUUA